AGUGAACGCUGGCGGUAGGCCUAAUACAUGCAAGUCGAACGACUGGCGGUCGGGUGAGGAAUACAUCGGAAUCGACUCUCUCGCUGGGGAUAACGUAGGGAAACUUACGCUAAUACCUCAUACUAUUGAUUGAGCCGUUGUCGGAUUAGCUAGUUGGCGGGGUAAAGGCUCACCAAGGCGACGAUCCGUAGCUGGUCUGAGAGGAUGAUCGUCAACACUGGAACUGUGACACGGUCCAGACUCGUACGGGAGGAAGCAGUGGGGAUUAUUGGAAAAGGGGCGCAAGCCUAAUCCAGCCAUACCGCGUGGGUGAGGAGGGCCUUCGGGUUGUAAAGCCCUUUUGUUGGGAAAGCGGUACCCAAAGAAUAAGCACCGGCUAACUUCGUGCCAGCAGCCGCGGUAAUUC
rnacentral:rRNA from 1 species